GGCAUGCAAGUCGAACGGUAAUUUCAACUUCGGUUGAGAACGAGUGGCAGACGGGUGAGUAACACGUGAGAAUCUACCUUGUAGUGGGGGAUAGCUCGCCGAAAGGCGGGGUAAUACCGCAUGUGAUCCGCAAGAUCAAAGUCGUAAGACGCUAUAAGAGGAGCUCGCGCGCUAUCAGCUUGUUGGUGGGGUAAUGGCCUACCAAGGCAAUGACGGCUAGCCGGUGUGAGAGCACGACCGGCCACAAGGCUACUGAGACACGGAGCCUACACCUACGGGUGGCAGCAACCGGGAAUAUUGCGCAAUGGGCGAAAGCCUGACGCAGCGACACCGCGUGUGGGAUGACGCUCUUCGGAGUGUAAACCACUGUGGCGAGGGAAUAAUUAAUGAAGGUACCUCGCUAGAAAGCACCAGCUAACUACGUGCCAGAAGCUUCGGUAAUACGUAGGGUGCGAGCGUUAUCCGGAUUUACUGGGCGUAAAGGGUCCGUCGGCGUCUGUGCAAGUUUUUUGUUUAAGCCUGGGGCUCAACUUCAGAAAAGCAAAAAAUACUGUACGGAUAGAGUUUGUUCGAGGAAGUUGGAAUUCUUGGUGGAGGGGUGAAAUCCGUAGAUAUCAAGAGGAACACCGCGCGCGAAGGCAGGCUUCUAGAACAAUACUGACGCUCAUGGACGAAAGCUUGGGUAGCAAAGCGGAUUAGAGACCCGUGUAGUCCAAGCUGUAAACGUUGUCCGCUAGUUGUUUCCCUCGCACUGGACUCGUACUCCGAGUCUGGUGUGAGGGAAGUGACGUAAGCUAACGCGUUAAGCGGACCGCC
rnacentral:rRNA from 1 species